GAGAAUGAACAGUUUCUGAUCUAUGAUUUAUAGAAUAUAUGAAAGAUUAAAUUUAAGUACUAAUUAAUUUUAGAUUAGAUCUAAAUUAAUUGGACUUAAAUGGUUCUAAAAUCUAAGUUAGACUUGGUACAAAAGUCCUAAAGAAUUUGAGAUUGACAGCCUUUCGAAAUUAUUUCGAACCAGCUUCGAAUCGGAUUCGAAUCAGAUCUGUUUUGGAUGAGAUAUGAGUA
rnacentral:lncRNA from 1 species